UACCAGCACCCCGAGUGGUCUGGACGAUUAUUGGGCCUAAAGCAUCCGUAGCCGGUCCUACAAGUCUUCCGUUAAAUCCACCUGCUUAACAGAUGGGCUGCGGAAGAUACUAUAGGGCUAGGAGGCGGGAGAGGCAAGCGGUACUCAGUGGGUAGGGGUAAAAUCCUCUGAUCCAUGGAAGACCACCAGUGGCGAAGGCGGCUUGCCAGAACGCGCUCGACGGUGAGGGAUGAAAGCUGGGGGAGCAAACCGG
rnacentral:rRNA from 1 species